rnacentral:lncRNA from 1 species
CUCGAAGGACUCCUCACGACCUCUUCCACCCGGAUUUGAAUCAGAGCACCGGUCCAGCCCCCGCUGUGUUCCCAGGGAAGAAAGGAGCUCGAGAGAGGAGGACAAGGUUUUGCCCAAGGCUUCGUUUUUCUCUCUAAAGAUACUCGACUCAGCAAAGUUCCCUUCUCCUCCCUGUGCUGCGAACGCUUGCUGGAAAAAGCUGGAUGGCCGUUGGAAUGCAUUUUGCAGUUAGAGAAGAAUAUGGGGACUUUUAGACAUCAAGCAGAACAAGCGAAAGGGAGCAACGGUGGUUUGGUACAAUGAGGGUUACUUUCAGACACGGAUUUGGCUCUCACCUGCCACACAACCUUUGGCAAGUCAUUCAACCUCUGGGAGCUUCAUUUCCUCAUCUUCAGGAUGGAACUUAUCAUCCUUACUGCUCACAGUUCUGCGGGACUGUGAAGGGAAAGGAAGUUGCCCAGUGACUGAACAUCCCAUUAGGAACUUCCUCACCAAACCCAAGCAAGAGAUCAGGCGAGAUUUGUCCUGGGCAGAUCUUUGGAGUGAGGCUGUCUGUGCUGGCCAGAUGGUGAAACUGUGACUGAGGAGAUGUUGAUUCCAGAGUAUCAUUCCUGAAAAGUCAUAAUCUCACACUUUCAAGAGACCCCCACGGAGGUGUUGCCAGGGAAGUCAAAAUUUAGAAGCCUCCUCUGAAAGGAAAGAGAAGACUCAAGAGAUCGAUGU